rnacentral:rRNA from 1 species
CGGGUGAGUAACACGUGGGCAAUCUGCCCUGCACUCUGGGACAAGCCCUGGAAACGGGGUCUAAUACCGGAUACUGACCGUCACGGGCAUCCGUGAGGGUCGAAAGCUCCGGCGGUGCAGGAUGAGCCCGCGGCCUAUCAGCUUGUUGGUGAGGUAACGGCUCACCAAGGCGACGACGGGUAGCCGGCCUGAGAGGGCGACCGGCCACACUGGGACUGAGACACGGUAAAGACUCCUACGGGAGGCAGCAGUGGGGAAUAUUGCACAAUGGGCGAAAGCCUGAUGCAGCGACGCCGCGUGAGGGAUGACGGCCUUCGGGUUGUAAACCUCUUUCAGCAGGGAAGAAGCGAAAGUGACGGUACCUGCAGAAGAAGCGCCGGCUAACUACGUGCCAGCAGCCGCGGUAAUACGUAGGGCGCGAGCGUUGUCCGGAAUUAUUGGGCGUAAAGAGCUCGUAGGCGGCUUGUCGCGUCGGUUGUGAAAGCCCGGGGCUUAACCCCGGGUCUGCAGUCGAUACGGGCAGGCUAGAGUUCGGUAGGGGAGAUCGGAAUUCCUGGUGUAGCGGUGAAAUGCGCAGAUAUCAGGAGGAACACCGGUGGCGAAGGCGGAUCUCUGGGCCGAUACUGACGCUGAGGAGCGAAAGCGUGGGGAGCGAACAGGAUUAGAUACCCUGGUAGUCCACGCCGUAAACGGUGGGCACUAGGUGUGGGCGACAUUCCACGUCGUCCGUGCCGCAGCUAACGCAUUAAGUGCCCCGCCUGGGGAGUACGGCCGCAAGCUAAAACUCAAAGGAAUUGACGGGGCCCGCA